rnacentral:rRNA from 1 species
UACGAAGGGGGCUAGCGUUGCUCGGAAUCACUGGGCGUAAAGGGUGCGUAGGCGGGUCUUUAAGUCAGGGGUGAAAUCCUGGAGCUCAACUCCAGAACUGCCUUUGAUACUGAGGAUCUUGAGUUCGGGAGAGGUGAGUGGAACUGCGAGUGUAGAGGUGAAAUUCGUAGAUAUUCGCAAGAACACCAGUGGCGAAGGCGGCUCACUGGCCCGAUACUGACGCUGAGGCACGAAAGCGUGGGGAGCAACAGGGAUUAAGA